rnacentral:rRNA from 1 species
GACAGAGGAUGCAAGCGUUAUCCGGAAUGAUUGGGCGUAAAGCGUCUGUAGGUGGCUUUUCAAGUCCGCCGUCAAAUCCCAGGGCUCAACCCUGGACAGGCGGUGGAAACUACCAAGCUGGAGUACGGUAGGGGCAGAGGGAAUUUCCGGUGGAGCGGUGAAAUGCGUAGAGAUCGGGAAGAACAUCGGUGGCGAAAGCGCUCUACUGGACCGCAACUGACACUCAGGGACGAAAGCUAGGGGAGCGAAUGGG